GGGGAAUAUUGGGCAAUAGGCGCAAGCCUGACCCAGCGACGCCGCGUGGGUGAUGAAGGCCUUCGGGUCGUAAAGCCCUGUCGGGUGGAAAGAACGAUGGGGGAGUGAAUAGCUCUUUCAUGUGACGGUACCACCGAAGGAAGCACCGGCCAAUUCCGUGCCCGCAGCCGCGGUAAGACGGAAGGUGCAAGCGUUGCGCGGAAUCACUGGGCGUAAAGGGUGCGUAGGCGGCCGCGCAAGUCUGGCGUGAAAGCCCCGGGCUCAGCCCGGGAAGGGCGCUCGAAACGGCGCGGCUGGAGUGCCGGAGGGGAGAGUGGAAUUCCUGGUGUAGCGGUGAAAUGCGUAGAUAUCAGGAGGAAUACCGGUGGCGAAAGCGACUCUCUGGACGGCAACUGACGCUGAGGCACGAAAGCGUGGGGAGCAAAC
rnacentral:rRNA from 1 species